CACCGAAUUAGGAACAUGUCAGCGAAAGGGGAAAAUGAGAUCAUGGCCACCCUGCCACCUUCCCCGGCUGGCUAAAUCUGUCAGCAGGCCGUCAGUCGUCAAGCCCUCCCUGACCCCUCCUGCGUGUCCAAUCGUGUGUCCGAGACAGGGGCAUGGGACGGUUAAGUGAGAAGAUGACACACAGCCUUGUCAAACCAGAGGAGAAAGUCGGGUGCCAAGAUGAGCAUUGCAGACACUACGGGUUUGCACCUGGCUUAUGCCUAACAUCUACACUCGGAAUGAAUGAAUGAUUGACCGAACAAUUUAACUAAACAUCAAGCCAAUGAGAAAAGGAGAACAGAUACCUGAAUAAGAUAAUUUAGUAUUUUAAAGUUUUCAGGGCGCUUUCCUGUCACCACUGGUGUCUUCCCUGUGACAGCCCUGGAGGCGGAGAGUGUGGGUUUCAUUGGUCCCACCUGACAAGACUUAUCAGAGCCAUCAAUCACAACUACACUCUGGAUCUCCAAGUGGAGAUAGAUGGAACAGGCAUCAUCUUCCAGACUUGUUGGACCACAUGGGUGAAUGUGAGGGUCUCAAUGCCACUGUUGCCCGUUUGGGGAAAUGUUGCUGCAGACGUCCACUUGAUUCUGGGAGGUGGCAUGGUGGAGUGGGAAGACGGAAGGCUUAGCUUCACCACAAAGGGCUCAGGUACCCAAAGAGGUGCAGGCACUGAGAGAUUUACAAGAAAAGAUCAAUGGAGAAGUAACCAUUCAGUUGACUACAGGAUUCUCUGAGCUGCAAAAUGACCCACCAGGUUUCUUUAAGUUGCAAGCCCCUGCUGGUCUCUCUCCUUCAGGCUGAUUUAAACUAAGGCCGAACUCACGAUAUGAUGGCAGGUGCUGGAGCAGCUAUCUUGGACCGUGUGAUAAAAGUUACUGAUUGAGAAUGGCAGAGCAAUAAGACGGAUGGAAUCUGGGGCUUCAAAACCAUGAAACUGCCAUGUUAGCCCUGGACUGCUUAAGUUAUUAUUGUCACAUGGAGGAGAAAUAAACUUCCAGUGGGUUUAAGCCAUUGUUAUUUUGAUCUUUAGUUACAGCAACUGAACUGCUUCACUUUGCAUAGCUACUUCUAACCAUCCUUCAAAAGCUACCUGAGGGCCACUUCUCCCAGGAAGCAUCCCUUGAUUGUACCAACGAUAGCCUGCCUCACGUACCACAUUACCCAUCCCAGAGCAUGUUGCCUCAACCAAAUCUUGAUGCGCCGAAUUCUAUUUUAUUUAAUGUUAUCACUCCAAUAUAGGGCAUGGCACACAUCAGGAGGCAUGGAAAGACGGUGAUUGAGUUGGGUUGUGACUGUCCUUUGUUCAUGGUUGGUUUGAUGUCCCUUUCACAGCAUAGUACCUUCCAG
rnacentral:lncRNA from 1 species